UCGUUGUAGCAAUACGAUGGAAAGUUUAGUGGCGAACGGGUGCUUAACACGUGGGCAACCUGCCAGGAAGCGGGGGAUAGCUCGCCGAAAGGCGAAUUAAUACCGCAUGUGAUUAGAGAGGACAUCCUUUCAAAAUUAAAGUCGGGGCAACCUGACGCUUCUUGUGGGGCCCGCGGCCUAUCAGCUAGUUGGUGAGGUAACGGCCCACCAAGGCUUUGACGGGUAGCUGGUCUGAGAGGACGACCAGCCACACUGGGACUGAGACACGGCCCAGACACCUACGGGUGGCAGCAGUCGAGAAUUUUUGACAAUGGGGGAAACCCUGAUCGAGCGACGCCGCGUGGAGGAUGAAGGUCUUCGGAUUGUAAACUCCUGUCAUUGGGGAACAAUGCACAGAUAUUAACUGUAUUUGUGUUGAUAGUACCCGAAGAGGAAGAGACGGCUAACUCUGUGCCAGCAGCCGCGGUAAUACAGAGGUCUCAAGCGUUGUUCGGAUUCAUUGGGCGUAAAGGGUGCGUAGGCGGCGCGGUAAGUCGGGUGUGAAAUCUCGGAGCUUAACUCCGAAACUGCAUUCGAUACUGCCGUGCUUGAGGACUGGAGAGGAGACUGGAAUUCUCGGUGUAGCA
rnacentral:rRNA from 1 species